rnacentral:rRNA from 1 species
AUACGUAGGUGGCAAGCGUUGUCCGGAUUUAUUGGGCGUAAAGCGAGCGCAGGCGGAAUGAUAAGUCUGAUGUGAAAGCCCACGGCUCAACCGUGGAACUGCAUCGGAAACUGUCAUUCUUGAGUGCAGAAGAGGAGAGUGGAACUCCAUGUGUAGCGGUGGAAUGCGUAGAUAUAUGGAAGAACACCAGUGGCGAAGGCGGCUCUCUGGUCUGCAACUGACGCUGAGGCUCGAAAGCAUGGGUAGCGAACAGGAUUAGAUACCCUGGUAGUCCAUGCCGUAAACGAUGAGCGCUAGGUGUUGGGGACUUUCCGGUCCUCAGUGCCGCAGCAAACGCAUUGAGCGCUCCGCCUGGGGAGUACGACCGCAAGGUUGAAACUCAAAUGAAUUGACGGGG